rnacentral:rRNA from 1 species
UACGAAGGGGGCUAGCGUUGCUCGGAAUCACUGGGCGUAAAGGGUGCGUAGGCGGAUUGUUAAGUCAGGGGUGAAAUCCUGGAGCUCAACUCCAGAACUGCCUUUGAUACUGGCGAUCUCGAGUCCGGGAGAGGUGAGUGGAACUGCGAGUGUAGAGGUGAAAUUCGUAGAUAUUCGCAAGAACACCAGUGGCGAAGGCGGCUCACUGGCCCGGUACUGACGCUGAGGUGCGAAAGCGUGGGAGCAACAGG